rnacentral:rRNA from 1 species
CCAAUAGCGUAUAUUAAAGUUGUUGCAGUUAAAAAGCUCGUAGUUGAAUUUCGGGAUCAAUAUGUCGGUCGUGCUUCGGUACGUACUUGCAUUAUUGGUUUCUCCCUUCUGAAGAACCUUGAUGUCAUUAAUUUGGUGUCUUGGGGAAUCAGGACUGUUACUUUGAAAAAAUUAGAGUGUUUAAAGCAGGCUCACGCUUGAAUACAUUAGAAUGGAAUAAUGAAAUAGGACGUUUGAUUCUAUUUUGUUGGUUUCUAGGAUCGACGUAAUGAUUAAUAGGGAUAGUUGUGGGCAUUAGUAUUCAAUUGUCAGAGGUGAAAUUCUUGGAUUUAUUGAAGACUAACUACUGCGAAAGCAUUCGCCAAGGAUGUUUUCAUUAAUCAAGAACGAAAGUUAGGGGAUCGAAGACGACCAGAUACCGUCGUAGUCUUAACCAUAAACUAUGCCGACUAGGGAUCGGAUGAUGUUAUUUUUGAUGACUCAUUCGGCGCCUUACG